rnacentral:rRNA from 1 species
GACGAACGCUGGCGGCAUGCCUAAUACAUGCAAGUCGAGCGAACAGAUGAAGUGCUUGCACUUCUGACGUUAGCGGCGAACGGGUGAGUAACACGUAAGGAAUCUACCUAUAAGCGGGGGAUAACAUUCGGAAACGGGUGCUAAUACCGCAUAAUAUCUUCUUCCGCAUGGAAGAAGAUUGAAAGACGGCUCUGCUGUCACUUAUAGAUGACCUUGCGGUGCAUUAGUUAGUUGGUGGGGUAAUGGCCUACAAAGACGAUGAUGCAUAGCCGGACUAAGAGGGUGAUCGGCCACAUGGGGACUGGGACACGGCCCAAACUCCUACGGGGGGCAGCAGUAGGGAAUCUUCCGCAAUGGGCGAAAGCCUGACGGAGCAAUGCCGCGUGAGUGAAGAAGGCCUUCGGGUCGUAAAACUCUGUUAUAAGAGAAGAACAAAUUGUAGAGUAACUGCUACAGUCUUGACGGUAUCUUAUCAGAAAGCCACGGCUAACUACGUGCCAGCCGCCGCAGUAA